UCCAUGCAGGGAAUACAAUUCGCAUCAUCAGUUUUCUUACUACCUCUUAGUGGGUGUGACAUGAUUUUAGAGGUGCAAUGGCUAUUUACUUUGGAAGAUAUCAAGUGGAAUUUCAAGCAAUUUAAAAUAGAAUUUUGGUGGCAAAAGCGACUAGUCACUCUACAAGGUAUUAGCUCCUCCCAAAUCACAUCAAUAGAGCCACAACAACUC
rnacentral:lncRNA from 1 species